AAGUCAAACCGUGAGGAUUGGUGGACUGUAUACAAGUGAGAAUGCCGGUGUAAGUAACGCUUGAGAGUGAGAAUCUCUCAAACCGAUUGACUAAGGUUUCCUGGACGAGGGUCGUCCUUCCAGGGUUAGUCUGGACCUAAGGCGAGGCAGAAAUGCGUAGUCGAUGGAAGAACAGGUUAAUAUUCCUGUACAAACAAAUAGCUGAUGGAGUGACGGAGAAGGUUAAUGCAUCCCCAUUAUCGGAUUUGGGGUUAAAUAAGAAGUCUUAAGGGUUGGCAAAUCCGCCCUUUUUAAGGACAACUUAUGAAUACGAGUGAACGCUUUGCAAGUAGCGAAGAUGCAUACAUCACGCUUCCAAGAAAAGCUUCUAGGGUUAACUAUUUGUUUCCAGUACCGAGAACGAACACACGUGGUCAAGGAGAAGAUCCUAAGGUUAGCGAGUGAACUAUAGCUAAGGAACUCUGCAAAUUCAUCCCGUAAGUUCGCAAGAAGGGAUGCUCAAU
rnacentral:rRNA from 1 species